AAACCCACGCUAAUACCGCAUACGUCCUACGGGAGAAAGCGGAGGAUCUUCGGACUUCGCGCUAUCGGAUGAGCCUAUGUCGGAUUAGCUAGUUGGUAAGGUAACGGCUUACCAAGGCGACGAUCCGUAGCUGGUCUGAGAGGAUGAUCAGCCACACUGGGACUGAGACACGGCCCAGACUCCUACGGGAGGCAGCAGUGGGGAAUAUUGGACAAUGGGCGAAAGCCUGAUCCAGCCAUGCCGCGUGUGUGAAGAAGGCUUUCGGGUUGUAAAGCACUUUCAGCGAGGAAGAAAGCCUGGUGGUUAAUACCCAUCAGGAAGGACAUCACUCGCAGAAGAAGCACCGGCUAACUCCGUGCCAGCAGCCGCGGUAAUACGGAGGGUGCGAGCGUUAAUCGGAAUUACUGGGCGUAAAGCGCGCGUAGGUGGCUUGGCACGCCGGUUGUGAAAGCCCCGGGCUCAACCUGGGAACGGCAUCCGGAACGGCCAGGCUAGAGUGCAGGAGAGGAAGGUAGAAUUCCCGGUGUAGCGGUGAAAUGCGUAGAGAUCGGGAGGAAUACCAGUGGCGAAGGCGGCCUUCUGGCCUGACACUGACACUGAGGUGCGAAAGCGUGGGUAGCAAACAGGAUUAGAUACCCUGGUAGUCCACGCCGUAAACGAUGUCGACUAGCCGUUGGGACCUUUAAGGACUUAGUGGCGCAGUUAACGCGAUAAGUCGACCGCCUGGGGAGUACGGCCGCAAGGUUAAAACUCAAAUGAAUUGACGGGGGCCCGCACAAGCGGUGGAGCAUGUGGUUUAAUUCGAUGCAACGCGAAGAACCUUACCUACCCUUGACAUCCUGCGAAUUUGGUAGAGAUACCUUAGUGCCUUCGGGAGCGCAGUGACAGGUGCUGCAUGGCUGUCGUCAGCUCGUGUUGUGAAAUGUUGGGUUAAGUCCCGUAACGAGCGCAACCCUUGUCCUUAUUUGCCAGCACGUAAUGGUGGGAACUCUAAGGAGACUGCCGGUGACAAACCGGAGGAAGGUGGGGACGACGUCAAGUCAUCAUGGCCCUUACGGGUAGGG
rnacentral:rRNA from 1 species